GUGGGGAAUUUUGGACAAUGGGCGCAAGCCUGAUCCAGCAAUGCCGCGUGCAGGAAGAAGGCCUUCGGGUUGUAAACUGCUUUUGUACGGAACGAAACGGUCCUGGCUAAUAUCCGGGGCUAAUGACGGUACCGUAAGAAUAAGCACCGGCUAACUACGUGCCAGCAGCCGCGGUAAUACGUAGGGUGCGAGCGUUAAUCGGAAUUACUGGGCGUAAAGCGUGCGCAGGCGGUGAUGUAAGACAGAUGUGAAAUCCCCGGGCUCAACCUGGGAACUGCAUUUGUGACUGCAUCGCUGGAGUGCGGCAGAGGGGGAUGGAAUUCCGCGUGUAGCAGUGAAAUGCGUAGAUAUGCGGAGGAACACCGAUGGCGAAGGCAAUCCCCUGGGCCUGCACUGACGCUCAUGCACGAAAGCGUGGGGAGCAAACAGGAUUAGAUACCCUAGUAGUCC
rnacentral:rRNA from 1 species